CAAAAAAGUCUGGAAUCCUGGGUUACUAAUUGGUGGAAUACUAGGCAAUCCGAAACUUUUUUGAAUGAUAUUGAAGAAAAGAGUAUUCUAGAAAAAUUCAUAGAAUUAGAGGAACUCCUCUUCUUAGAGGAAAUGAUCAAGGAAUACUCGGAGACACAUCUACAAAACCUUCGUAUAGGAAUUCACAUAGAAACAAUCCAA